rnacentral:lncRNA from 1 species
AACUUUAACUCCUUCUCUUUGAAAUCUACAAGGGAUUUUCCAUAACCUCAAAACAUUACUUAGUUCCUAACAACUUUGCUAGCCCCCCUUUUCUUUCUUUUUCUUUUCUUUUUAUAUUUUAUUUCUCUCUUUUUUUUAAAGGAUCGAUACAGACGAUGGACGACGAUUGAGUCGACGUCUCCUCCGUAUUCUCCGUGAGAAGAAGGAUCGACACCCAGCACCGACGAGG